CCCUUAGACGUUCUGGGCCGCACGCGCGCUACACUGACGAAGGCAACGAGCUUUCCUUUACCGAAAGGUACGGGUAAUCUUUUGAAACUUCGUCGUGCUGGGGAUAGAUCCUUGCAAUUUUUGAUCUUAAACGAGGAAUGCCUAGUAAGCGCAAGUCAACAGCUUGCGUUGAUUACGUCCCUGCCCUUUGUACACACCGCCCGUCGCUACUACUGAUUGGAUGUUUAAGCGAGGUUCUUGAACUGCUAGCGACUUAGCUUCGGUGAGGUCGCAGUGUGGGAAGUGAACCUAGCUUUGGUGUCUAGAGGAAGUAAAAGUCGUAACAA
rnacentral:rRNA from 1 species